rnacentral:rRNA from 1 species
UACGUAGGGAGCAAGCGUUGUCCGGAAUCAUUGGGCGUAAAGGGCGCGUAGGCGGCCUGCUAAGCGUGCGGUGAAAGUCGGGGGCUCAACCCCCGAUCGGCCGUGCGAACUGGGAGGCUUGAGCACUGUAGAGGCAAGUGGAAUUCCUGGUGUAGCGGUGGAAUGCGCAGAUAUCAGGAGGAACACCUAUAGCGAAGGCAGCUUGCUGGGACGUAACUGACGCUAAGGCGCGAAAGCGUGGGGAGCGAACAGG